CCUUCGGGCCUCAUGCCAUCAGAUGUGCCCAGAUGGGAUUAGCUAGUAGGUGGGGUAACGGCUCACCUAGGCGACGAUCCCUAGCUGGUCUGAGAGGAUGACCAGCCACACUGGAACUGAGACACGGUCCAGACUCCUACGGGAGGCAGCAGUGGGGAAUAUUGCACAAUGGGCGCAAGCCUGAUGCAGCCAUGCCGCGUGUGUGAAGAAGGCCUUCGGGUUGUAAAGCACUUUCAGCGGGGAGGAAGGCGGUGAGGUUAAUAACCUCACCGAUUGACGUUACCCGCAGAAGAAGCACCGGCUAACUCCGUGCCAGCAGCCGCGGUAAUACGGAGGGUGCAAGCGUUAAUCGGAAUUACUGGGCGUAAAGCGCACGCAGGCGGUCUGUCAAGUCGGAUGUGAAAUCCCCGGGCUCAACCUGGGAACUGCAUUCGAAACUGGCAGGCUAGAGUCUUGUAGAGGGGGGUAGAAUUCCAGGUGUAGCGGUGAAAUGCGUAGAGAUCUGGAGGAAUACCGGUGGCGAAGGCGGCCCCCUGGACAAAGACUGACGCUCAGGUGCGAAAGCGUGGGGAGCAAACAGGAUUAGAUACCCUGGUAGUCCACGCCGUAAACGAUGUCGAUUUGGAGGUUGUGCCCUUGAGGCGUGGCUUCCGGAGCUAACGCGUUAAAUCGACCGCCUGGGGAGUACGGCCGCAAGGUUAAAACUCAAAUGAAUUGACGGGGGCCCGCACAAGCGGUGGAGCAUGUGGUUUAAUUCGAUGCAACGCGAAGAACCUUACCUGGUCUUGACAUCCACAGAACUUUCCAGAGAUGGAUUGGUGCCUUCGGGAACUGUGAGACAGGUGCUGCAUGGCUGUCGUCAGCUCGUGUUGUGAAAUGUUGGGUUAAGUCCCGCAACGAGCGCAACCCUUAUCCUUUGUUGCCAGCGGUCCGGCCGGGAACUCAAAGGAGACUGCCAGUGAUAAACUGGAGGAAGGUGGGGAUGACGUCAAGUCAUCAUGGCCCUUACGACCAGGGCUACACACGUGCUACAAUGGCAUAUACAAAGAGAAGCGACCUCGCGAGAGCAAGCGGACCUCAUAAAGUAUGUCGUAGUCCGGAUUGGAGUCUGCAACUCGACUCCAUGAAGUCGGAAUCGCUAGUAAUCGUAGAUCAGAAUGCUACGGUGAAUACGUUCCCGGGCCUUGUACACACCGCCCGUCACACCAUGGGAGUGGGUUGCAAAAGAAGUAGGUAGCUUAACCUUCGGGAGGGCGCUUACCACUUUGUGAUUCAUGACUGGGGUGAAGUCGUAACAAGGUAACCGUAGGGGAACCUGCGGUUGGAUCACCUCCUUACCUUAAAGAA
rnacentral:rRNA from 1 species